rnacentral:rRNA from 1 species
GUAAGGGAUAUUGCGCAAUGGGCGAAAGCCUGACGCAGCAACGCCGCGUGGAGGAUGACGGCCUUCGGGUUGUAAACUCCUUUGGCCGGGGACGAGCAAGGACGGUACCCGGCAAACAAGUCACGGCUAACUACGUGCCAGCAGCCGCGGUAAAACGUAGGUGGCAAGCGUUAUCCGGAUUUACUGGGCGUAAAGCGUGUGCAGACGGCUGGUCAAGUGGUGUAUGAAAGCGCCCGGCUCAACCGGGCAAUGGUAUGCCAGACUGACCGGCUGGAGCCAGAGAGAGGGACGUGGAAUUCCGGGUGUAGUGGUGAAAUGCGUAGAGAUCCGGAGGAACCCCUGAGGCGAAGGCGGCGUCCUGGCUCUGGUCUGACGUUCAGACACGACAGCAUGGGGAGCGAACGGGAUUAGAAACCCGGGUAGUCC